AUGAACGCUGGCGGCGUGCCUAAUACAUGCAAGUCGAGCGAACGGACGAGAAGCUUGCUUCUCUGAUGUUAGCGGCGGACGGGUGAGUAACACGUGGAUAACCUACCUAUAAGACUGGGAUAACUUCGGGAAACCGGAGCUAAUACCGGAUAAUAUUUUGAACCGCAUGGUUCAAAGGUGAAAGACGGUCUUGCUGUCACUUAUAGAUGGAUCCGCGCUGCAUUAGCUAGUUGGUAAGGUAACGGCUUACCAAGGCAACGAUGCAUAGCCGACCUGAGAGGGUGAUCGGCCACACUGGAACUGAGACACGGUCCAGACUCCUACGGGAGGCAGCAGUAGGGAAUCUUCCGCAAAGGGCGAAAGCCUGACGGAGCAACGCCGCGUGAGUGAUGAAGGUCUUCGGAUCGUAAAACUCUGUUAUUAGGGAAGAACAUAUGUGUAAGUAACUGUGCACAUCUUGACGGUACCUAAUCAGAAAGCCACGGCUAACUACGUG
rnacentral:rRNA from 1 species